rnacentral:rRNA from 1 species
UACGGGGGGGGGCAAGCGUUGUUCGGAAUUACUGGGCGUAAAGGGCUCGUAGGCGGCCAACUAAGUCGGACGUGAAAUCCCUCGGCUUAACCGGGGAACGGCGUCCGAUACUGGAUGGCUUGAGUUUGGGAGAGGGAUGCGGAAUUCCAGGUGUAGCGGUGAAAUGCGUAGAUAUCUGGAGGAACACCGGUGGCGAAGGCGGCAUCCUGGACCAAACUGACGC